rnacentral:rRNA from 1 species
CCUACGGGUGGCAGCAGUGGGGAAUAUUGCACAAUGGGGGAAACCCUGAUGCAGCGACGCCGCGUGAGUGAAGAAGUAUUUCGGUAUGUAACGCCCUUUCAGCAGGGAAGAAAAUGACGGUACCUGAUUAAGAAGCCCCGGCUAACUACGGGCCAGCCGCCGCGGUAAUACGUAGGGGGCAAGGGUUAUCCGGAUUUACUGGGGGUAAAGGGAGCGUAGACGGCAGCACAAGGCUGGAGUGAAAUGCGGGGGCUUAACCCCGGAACUGCUUUGGAAACUGUGCCGCUAGAGUGCAGGAGAGGUAAGUGGAAGUCGUGGUGUAGCGGUGAAAUGCGUAGAUAUCAGGAGGAACACCAGUGGCGAAGGCGGCUUACUGGACUGUAACUGACGUUGAGGCUCGAAAGCGUGGGGAGCAAACAGGAUUAGAUACCCGUGUAGUC